rnacentral:snoRNA from 1 species
UGAUGGUGGUGAGGCCAAUUUCUAAGCAUGCCCUUAAAUCUUUCCCAAGCUUGGUAAAGAUUUUCUCCUUCUUUCUGUCUGGAACUCAGAAUCUCACAUCUCAAACA